rnacentral:rRNA from 1 species
AACGGCCGCGGUAUCCUGACCGUGCGAAGGUAGCAUAAUCACUUGUUCUUUAAAUAAGGACUAGUAUCAACGGCAUCACGAGGAUUAUACUGUCUCCUCCCUCCAAUCAGUGAAACUAAUUUCCCCGUGAAGAAGCGGGGAUAAGAAUAUAAGACGAGAAGACCCCAUGGAGCUUUAAACCCAACAGCAACCUAUAUAUACAAAUUUCCCAAUAUCUAAAAGUCCUGCCUGUUGGUUUUAGGUUGGGGUGACCGCGGAGUAAAACUAAGCCUCCACGACGAACGGGAUUAACCCCUAAUCCAAGAGCCACCGCUCUAAGAAUCAAUAAAUUGACGUAAAAUGAUCCGAUAAUCGAUCAACGAACUA